rfam:Geobacillus sp. BCO2 LR69_contig000145, whole genome shotgun sequence.
GGGGCCUUAGCUCAGCUGGGAGAGCGCCUGCUUUGCAAGCAGGAGGUCAUCGGUUCGAUCCCGAUAGGCUCCA